UACAGAAGCCCCGAGCAUUAUCCGGAAUUAUUGGGCGUAAAGAGCUCGUAGGCGGUUUGUCGCGUCUGCCGUGAAAGUCCGGGGCUCAACUCCGGAUCUGCGGUGGGUACGGGCAGGCUAGAGUGAUGUAGGGGAGACUGGAAUUCCUGGUGUAGCGGUGAAAUGCGCAGAUAUCAGGAGGAACACCGAUGGCGAAGGCAGGUCUCUGGGCAUUAACUGACGCUGAGGAGCGAAAGCAUGGGGAGCGAACAGG
rnacentral:rRNA from 1 species